UAACCUUGUACAUGUGUCGCUAGGAGAGGGGAGGUCGUACAGGUAAGAUCUAAGGUAGAGGGGUGUUAUAGUCUAACCUUGUACAUGUGUCACUAGGAGAGGGGAGUUCCUACAGGUAAGAUCUAAGGUAGAGGGUCGUUAUAGUGUAACCUUGUGCAUGUGUCGCUAGGAGAGGGGAGGUCCUACAGGUAAGAUUUAAGGGAGAGGGUCGUUAUAGUGUAACCUUGUACAUGUGUCGCUAGGAGAGGGGAGGUCCUACAGGUAAGAUUUAAGGUAGAGGGUUGUUAUAGUCUAACCUUGUACAUGUGUCACUAGGAGAGGGGAGGUCCUACAGGUAAGAUUUAAGGUAGAGGGUUGUUAUAGUCUAACCUUGUACAUGUGUCACUAGGAGAGGGGAGGUCGUACAGGUAAGAUCUAAGGUAGAGGGUUGUUAUAGUGUAACCGUGUACAGAUGUCACUAGGAGAGAGGAGGUCCUACAGGUAAGAUCAAAGGUAGAGGGUCGUUAUAGUGUAACCUUGUACAUGUGUCACUAGGAGAGGGGAGGUCCUACAGGUAAGAUCAAAGGUAGAGGGUCGUUAUAGUGUAACCUUGUACAUGUGUCACUAGGAGAGGGGAGGUCCUACAGGUAAGAUCAAAGGUAGAGGGUCGUUAUAGUGUAACCUUGUACAUGUGUCACUAGGAGAGGGGAGGUCCUACAGGUAAGAUCAAAGGUAGAGGGUCGUUAUAGUGUAACCUUGUACAUGUGUCACUAGGAGAGGGGAGGUCCUACAGGUAAGAUCAAAG